GACAGAGGGUGCAAACGUUGUUCGGAAUUACUGGGCGUAAAGCGCGUGUAGGCGGCUAAGUAAGUCGGGCGUGAAAUCCCCGGGCUCAACCUGGGAACUGCAUUUGUGACUGUAGAGCUGGAGUACGGCAGAGGGGGAUGGAAUUCCGCGUGUAGCAGGUGAAAUGCGUAGAUAUGCGGAGGAACACCGAUGGCGAAGGCAAUCCCCUGGGCCUGUACUGACGCUCAUGCACGAAAGCGUGGGGAGCAAACAGG
rnacentral:rRNA from 1 species